rnacentral:rRNA from 1 species
UACGGAGGGUGCAAGCGUUGCUCGGAAUUAUUGGGCGUAAAGGGUAGGUAGGUGGUCUCAUUUGUCUGGGGUGAAAGCCUUGAGCUUAACUCAAGAAGUGCCCCAGAAACGGUGAGACUAGAGUCCUGGAGAGGGUCGUGGAAUUCCCGGUGUAGCGGUGAAAUGCGUAGAGAUCGGGAGGAACACCAGAGGCGAAGGCGGCGACCUGGACAGGUACUGACGCUGAGACGCGAAAGCGUGGGGAGCGAACAGG